CGUAUAUAUGUCAUUUAUUUUUAUAUCAAUACAUAUUGUAUAAGAAUUUUGACAUGGUUAGCAUUAGAUAAUUCUGAUUUCUUUUUUAUAGAACACUUUAAAAUGUUCGACAAAAAUUUUUCCAGAAUGCUCGUAGUAUUGAUCGUAAUUUAAAAUUCAUCGCAUGAUACUUAUAGUAGGAAUCAUGAAGACUGUAUAAGGAGAUUCAACUCUCUACGAAAGUUACUAGAAAACUGUGAUGAAAAUCCGUUAUGAUAUGAUCCGAACGGAUAUGAUGCGCCGCGAGUGGUAGAAAUAUUCAUAGCUUGGGAUUUUGAUAACACUUCUACACUACACAAUUAACACUCCUUAUGCAGUCUUCAUGGUAGGAAUAUUAGGAUUUCUGUUCAACGGAGCUAAUGCCUCCAUUUCUGGCUCUAUACAUCACUGUUUUCCAAAGCGCAUGCCUAAAAAACAAACAAGGGUUAUAUCUGGUAACAUUUGUUGCGGCGUCAAUUUGUAAAUUUCAAACUGCUUUCCGUUGCACAUUAUCGUUGAACCACGUUGAACAGGCAGUGACAGGCAGUCAGACGCUAAUUUUGUGCGUUGAAUUUUACACUUAUUACACGAAUUAAAAUGUCAUAUCUUCAUAAACUAUAUAAAGAUAAACGUCCUUUUGGAGAUAUUAAUGAAAAACGAGCUAUUCGAGCGGAAAAGCAAAAAGAGUUACGUAAAAAUCGGAGGGAUAAAAUAGUUGGAGAAAACAGGAAUGGAUUAACUUCAUCGACAUCACAGAACUUGGAAAUAGAGGCACCCGAUCCGGUAGAAAUACGUGCAAAAAGGCUCUUACAAUGGAAAAUUGAACGCGAGAAACGUAAACGGAUGGAACAAAUGAAGAAAAGGCGUCCGUUUGUUGUUGGUGUAGUACACCAUAAAUUAUACUCGCCAGGGAUCAAAGACCAAGAUAUUCCAAAAGUUAAAAAACCACCUACACCUCCGAAAAGAGUUACAAGAGCCACCCUCAAAAGAUUGAUGUUGAAAACUCAACAAACAAAACAAGCAUCUCAACAAGAAAGUAACAAGAAAGAGGAGCAUUCCUUUGCUCCAGCUAAUUAUGAAUUUAAGGUUCCAGCUGGAGUGAAGCAAGAGCUUUUAUUUGGACGAGUUGACCCACAUAGUAUGACACCUAGUGUAAUAAGUAAAUUUGUGCUCCCGUCUUCGAGAUUGACAAGAGCAAGUACAAAUAGCAGUACUACAAAAUUUAUAAAGGAAGAAAUUGCAUCAGCAACAAUUAAUAAGAAAGAUGAUACCAAUUUCUCAGAAGAGAGCUUGAAUGAAACUUUUACAUUAAAUGUAUCAUCAUCCAAUGAAGAUAUAAAUGACACAAAUGAAGCUAUCAUAUCUGAUAAAGAUAGUAAUGAGAAAAAAAAAGAGAAAAAUGAUGAAUCACUUAAUAAUAAUAUUACAGAACCAAAUAAACAAUUUAAUAAUAGUAUUAAAGAAGUUGAUACAAUACUUGAUAACAAUGCUAAAAGUGCACUGUCUUCCUCAAACAAUAAUACACCGACACCUGCAAAUUCUAAUUCUUUUAGUGAACCAGUUUUUUAUUCCCCAUAUGUAGUCUCCAGUCGUGGAAAAAGUAAUGCUAGAAAAGAGCAACAGUUGAAACGUGGUUUUAGUCUAGGCUCUAUGCGUAGCGAUGAUAUUCCUACAAAAGAUAACGUAAUGAAGAAUUUGAACAUUUCAGUUGAAGAGGAAGAACGCACUGCACAGUAUUUCCAGUUUCUCCUAAACAAAGAAAUAGAUAGAUUGAACGAAUUAUGCAUAAAAUGGGAACAAGUAAAGACAGAAUCCAAUAUCACGGAAGAUGCGCAAUACCAAAUUAAUCAAGCUGUUGGACAAACGAAUUUGCUAAUAAGCAAAAAGUUUGAAAGAUUUCGUGGUCUAGUUUCCGAUUGCGAAACAGGAAAAGGACAAAUGUUAGUCACGUGUAGAGACUUACAAGGAUUCUGGGAUAUGAUGUAUAUGGAGGUAAAGAAUUGCGAUUCACGCUUUGAAAAAUUAGAACAACUUCGGUCACAAAACUGGGUAGAAGAACAGGCAACUACUGUAUUUAAGCCUUCUAUUGCCAAGAAAAGUACCAUGAGAAAGAAAGCAGUGCUUGGAAAGUCAAGUGCAGUCAGAGCAUUUUUAGCAAAUAGAAAAAAGGGGAAACAAGAAACAAGAAUUGAAGAUGUUGUGGAAGAGCCUGCAAUUAUAAAUAACAAAGUUUCAGUUGAUGAACAUGAACUGAAUAAAAACAGUCCUAAUGUAAAAUGUAGACCAAGAAGAUCUGUAUCAGUUCAUCUUAACGACAAGAAAUUGACACCUAUCAAAAGUGAUAGAACAAGUCUGUUGCAGAAAGUGAAAUCCGAAGCAAAGAGACUUUCAAAUUCUUUAGCUGUAAUUAAAAUAAGUAAUUUGGGUAAAACACCGGAGGUGUGCAGUACAGAAUCUUAUUUUAAUUCUACACAGACACCAGGGAAAAGUAUAUUGAAACAAAGAAAAGAUUCUAAUGACAUAGAAUCCCAUACAAAGAUAACACAUAAAGUUAAUUUUGAUGACAGUAUAGUAUUAAAUGAAGUUCCAAUUGACGAAGAAACACAAACAAAAACGAGUUUAGCCGCAGCAAUGGCUAGAAUAGAUAGUAUCAACUUUGAUUAUCCUGAAGAUAACAUAUCAUUUCAUGCUGAAAGAAAACUAAUUUUUAAUGAUGAUAGUUUUGAAGAUACUGAAGAUGUGUUUAAUGUUAAAGAUUCUACACAUAAAAUCCACAUUGAAGUAGAACCUCCGAUACCAUUACAAGGAAUGCAAUUAAGUAAUAAUUCAAAUACAUUGCCAAAAAGAAAAUUGAGAAGACAAAAUGCUUUUAAUGAAACUAACGAAUCAUUUGAUAAAAGUGAAUCACUGGAUAUUACAAUUUCUCUACCAUCCAACGAAAGUAAAGAUGUUGAAGAUUCAGAUAAACAAAAACUGAAAAAGCAAAUUCCUAUAAACAUUGGAGAGGAAACAGAUAGGUCAGAUGAAAAUGUUAGAGUUCUGAGAAAUAGAAGUAUUAUCACAGCCAACACACCUACAUCUAGAAGGAGGUCUUCAAGGAAAUUGUCUAUGAAUGUGACAAAAUCAGAGCAUAAAGAAAAUAAAACACCUGUAGAAAAUCGAAGGAAAAGUUUUCUGAAUCUUGAUAACAAAAAUGACAAGAAGAUAAAUACAGAGAUAGAUUUACACAAUAGCAUGCAUAAUAUGAACCUGUCUGAAAAAAGUCACAAAAGAAGAUCUAGGAGAAAGAGCGUCAAAUUUUCUGAGGAAGAUUGCAGUGGUUGUAUAAUUAAUAAACCAGUACAUCCUGUGACUCCUCAUGUUAGACGGAGUAGAAUAGGGUCCACUAAAAAGGAAAAUUGAUGAAAAUGAUCCGCAAAUUGAUACCGCAAAAAAAACGUCGUAGAAAGCUCCUGAACGAGUCGGAAGAUUAAAAGACAGAAAAUUGCGGGUACAGGAGGUGGAGCCAGAAACCACUCACCAUCUAGCGGCAGAAGUGGGAAUUAUGUUCAAUCGCUAGGUGCUACUUGAAAAUGAUGAAUCAGUAAUGAUCUGUGGGCUGUAAGUUUGACGUUUUAGGCGGAAGCAAAUAACAAUUAAAAGUAUCGUUCCCUCU